rnacentral:rRNA from 1 species
GUAGGUGGCAAGCGUUGUCCGGAAUUAUUGGGCGUAAAGCGCGCGCAGGGCGGUCCUUUAAGUCUGAUGUGAAAGCCCACGGCUCAACCGUGGAGGGUCAUUGGAAACUGGGGGACUUGAGUACAGAAGAGGAAAGCGGAAUUCCAAGUGUAGCGGUGAAAUGCGUAGAGAUUUGGAGGAACACCAGUGGCGAAGGCGGCUUUCAGGUCUGUAACUGACGCUGAGGCGCGAAAGCGUGGGGAGCAAACAGGAUUAGAUACCCUGGUAGUCCACGCCGUAAACGAUGAGUGCUAAGUGUUAGGGGGUUUCCGCCCCUUAGUGCUGCAGCUAACGCAUUAAGCACUCCGCCUGGGGAGUACGGCCGCAAGGCUG